GCACUUUAAUAUUUUUAUUCAAAAACUAUUUAAAAUUUCUAUAUUACUUACAAGUCCAUCUUCAGGUGCAUUGAAAUGCUUAACCGUCUGGAACAUUAUGUUAUUGUAACUCGCUUAAUCUUUAUUAUAGGCUGCACCUUGAUCUGUCAUAGAUGUUUUCUUAACAUUAUAAAAUAUUUCUGAAAAAUAUUUCAUGACGACGGCAUACAAACUAUAAAAUAAAGCGGAUAAUUCUUGGUGGUUAUCAUUUAUUUAGUAAGUUCCCCUAUAAUUUACUAAAGCCGCCAUAAUUUUUGAGUUUUUCAUUUAGCAUAUGUUUACUACUCUAAACUAAAAAUGUCAAUAGGAAUAGUAGGGUAUCUAAUCCUAGUUUAUAGCCCUACUUAACACAAGAUAAAUAGCAAAAAGAGGUUACAGAUUAUAUUUCACUAUGCAGCUGCACAUAAAUUAUUUGUGCUUUAGUUUAUUAAUAAUUACUUACUGAUAAAGGUAUGACCGCGGUUGCUGGCACCAUAUUUACCUCAGGUAAAUCUAUCUUAACUAAACUUAUAUUUAUAUAGUAAGUAAUCUUUCUAACUGGUAAAACAUUGAUUUCCAUAAUUAUAUGUAGGUAGAAAGUAAUUUUAUACUAUCAAAUUAAAGUAGAGAGUCUAAAAAGGAAUAUCCCUUUUUCGG
rnacentral:rRNA from 1 species